GUAAGGAAUAUUGGUCAAUGGACGAAAGUCUGAACCAGCCAUGCCGCGUGGAGGAUGAAGGUCCUCUGGAUUGUAAACUUCUUUUAUAUGGGACGAAAAUGGGGCUUUCUAGCUCAACUGACGGUACCAUAUGAAUAAGCACCGGCUAACUCCGUGCCAGCAGCCGCGGUAAUACGGAGGGUGCAAGCGUUAUCCGGAUUCACUGGGUUUAAAGGGUGCGUAGGUGGAUUGGUAAGUCAGAGGUGAAAUCUCCGGGCUCAACUCGGAAACUGCCUUUGAUACUAUCAAUCUUGAAUAUUGUGGAGGUUAGCGGAAUAUGUCAUGUAGCGGUGAAAUGCUUAGAUAUGACAUAGAACACCAAUUGCGAAGGCAGCUGGCUACACAUAUAUUGACACUGAGGCACGAAAGCGUGGGGAUCAAACAGGAUUAGAUACCCUGGUAGUCC
rnacentral:rRNA from 1 species